rnacentral:tRNA from 1 species
GCAGGGGUAGCCUAGCCUGGUAAGGCGCAGGCUUGCUAAGCCUGUGUCUCUCACGGGACUCGUGGGUUCGAAUCCCACCCCCUGCG